rnacentral:rRNA from 1 species
UGGGGAAUAUUGCACAAUUGGCGCAAGCCUGAUGCAGCCAUGCCGCGUGUAUGAAGAAGGCCUUCGGGUUGUAAAGUACUUUCAGUCGGGAGGAAGGUGUCAAGGUUAAUAACCUUUGCUCAUUGACGUUACCCGCAGAAGAAGCACCGGCUAACUCCGUGCCAGCAGCCGCGGUAAUACGGAGGGUGCAAGCGUUAAUCGGAAUUACUGGGCGUAAAGCGCACGCAGGCGGUUUGUUAAGUCAGAUGUGAAAUCCCCGGGCUCAACCUGGGAACUGCGUCUGAUACUGGCAAGCUUGAGUCUCGUAGAGGGGGGUAGAAUUCCAGGUGUGGCGGUGAAAUGCGUAGAGAUCUGGAGGAAUACCGGUGGCGAAGGCGGCCCCCUGGACGAAGACUGACGCUCAGGUGCGAAAGCGUGGGGAGCAAACAGG